rnacentral:rRNA from 1 species
AGCCGACAAAGGAGCAAUCCGCUGAGAGAGGGGCUCGCGUCCCAUUAGAUAGAUGGCGGGGUAACGGCCCACCAUGUCAACGAUGGGUAGCCGAGCUGAGAGGCUGAUCGGCCACACUGGAACUGAGACACGGUCCAGACUCCUACGGGAGGCAGCAGUGGGGAAUAUUGGGCAAUGGGCGCAAGCCUGACCCAGCAACGCCGCGUGAGGGAAGAAGGCUUUCGGGUUGUAAACCUCUGUCCUUGGGGAAGAAACAAAUGACGGUACCUUACCAGAAAGCCACGGCUAACUACGUGCCAGCAGCCGCGGUAAUACGUAGGUGGCAAGCGUUAUCCGGAAUUAUUGGGCGUAAAGGGAGCGUAGGCGGUUUGAUAAGUCUGAGGUGAAAGUUCGGGGCUCAACCUGGGGACUGCGCCUGAAACUUUCCGACUGGAGUUUGGGAGGGGCAACUGGAAUUCCUAGUGUAGCGGUGAAAUGCGUAGAUAUUAGGAGGAACACCAGUGGCGAAGGCGACUUCCUGGCUUGUAACUGACACUGAGGCGCGAAAGCGUGGGGAUCAAACAGGAUUAGAUACCCUGGUAGUCCACGCCGUAAACGAUGAGUGCUAGGUGUCGGGGGUAUCGACCCCCUCGGUGCCACAGCUAACGCAAUAAGCACUCCGCCUGGGGAGUACGGUCGCAAGACUGAAACUCAAAGGAAUUGACGGGGGCCCGCACAAGCGGUGGAGUAUGUGGUUUAAUUCGACGCAACGCGAAGAACCUUACCAAGGCUUGACAUCCCGGGAAUCUUGUGGAAACACGAGAUUUAACAUCUAUACACGGAGACAGGUGGUGCAUGGUUGUCGUCAGCUCGUGUCGUGAGGUGUCGGGUUAAGUCCCAUAACGAGCGCAACCCUUAUCGUUAGUUGCCAGCGGGUCAUGCCGGGGACUCUAGCGAGACUGCCACCGUAAGGUGUGAGGAAGGUGGGGAUGACGUCAAAUCAGCACGGCCCUUAUGUCCAGGGCUACACACGUGUUACAAUGGCCGAUACAAAGGGCAGCUACCAGGUGACUGGAUGCGAAUCUUUAAAGUUGGUCUCAGUUCGGAUUGCAGGCUGAAACUCGCCUGCAUGAAGUUGGAGUUGCUAGUAAUCGCGGAUCAGCAUGCCGUGGUGAAUGCGUUCC